rnacentral:rRNA from 1 species
CCUACGGGAGGCAGCAGUGAGGAAUAUUGGUCAAUGGUCGGGAGACUGAACCAGCCAAGCCGCGUGAGGGAUGAAGGUACAGAGUAUCGUAAACCUCUUUUGUCAGGGAACAAAGGCGGGGACGUGUCCCCGGAUGAGUGUACCUGAAGAAAAAGCAUCGGCUAACUCCGUGCCAGCAGCCGCGGUAAUACGGAGGAUGCGAGCGUUAUCCGGAUUUAUUGGGUGUAAAGGGUGCGCAGGCGGUCUGUUAAGUCAGCGGUAAAAGCCCGGGGCUCAACCCCGGCCCGCCGUUGAAACUGGCAGUCUCGAGUUGGAGAGAAGUAUGCGGAAUGCGCGGUGUAGCGGUGAAAUGCAUAGAUAUCGCGCAGAACUCCGAUUGCGAAGGCAGCAUGCCGGCUCCACACUGACGCUGAGGCACGAAAGCGUGGGUAUCGAACAGGAUUAGAUACCCUUGUAGUC